GAGGGCGGCAGCUACACAUGCAGUCGAGCGCACCCUUCGGGGCGAGCGGCGGACGGGUUAGUAACGCGUGGGAACGUACCCUUUUCUACGGAAUAGCCUCGGGAAACUGAGAGUAAUACCGUAUAAGCCCUUCGGGGGAAAGAUUUAUCGGUAAAGGAUCGGCCCGCGUUAGAUUAGAUAGUUGGUGGGGUAAUGGCCUACCAAGUCUACGAUCUAUAGCUGGUUUUAGAGGAUGAUCAGCAACACUGGGACUGAGACACGGCCCAGACUCCUACGGGAGGCAGCAGUGGGGAAUCUUAGACAAUGGGCGCAAGCCUGAUCUAGCCAUGCCGCGUGUGUGAUGAAGGCCUUAGGGUCGUAAAGCACUUUCGCCAGGGAUGAUAAUGACAGUACCUGGUAAAGAAACCCCGGCUAACUCCGUGCCAGCAGCCGCGGUAAUACGGAGGGGGUUAGCGUUGUUCGGAAUUACUGGGCGUAAAGCGUACGUAGGCGGAUCAGAAAGUAGGGGGUGAAAUCCCGAGGCUCAACCUCGGAACUGCCUCCUAAACUCCUGGUCUUGAGUUCGAGAGAGGUGAGUGGAAUUCCAAGUGUAGAGGUGAAAUUCGUAGAU
rnacentral:rRNA from 1 species